UAAUAAAAAAAAUAUCCUAAUAUGCUAACAUUUUUGCAAAUAGAACUUUGUGUAAAAAAGGACACAUCCACCACAAAGGAGUACAAUACCUCAAUUGAGCGGAGCACAUACACAAAAAAUGACCACAAUUCACCUCAAAGGACCAGAAUGCACUAACAGGGAGUACAAUGCUCCACAAAGGGGUACUUACAUAAAUAGGAGUAAAAUGCACAACAAAUGAGUACAUUGCGCAGCAAAUGGGAACAAUACACCGAAAGGAGUACAAUGCAGCACAAAGGAGCACAUACACAACAAAAGACCACAAUUAACCACAAAAGAGUGUAAACACAUUAAAGGAGAACAAUACACCACAAAGGAGCACAUACACAACAAAGGACCACAAUUAAC
rnacentral:lncRNA from 1 species